CCUACGGGUGGCAGCAGUGAGGAAUAUUGGUCAAUGGGCGGAAGCCUGAACCAGCCAAGUAGCGUGCGGGAUGAAGGCCCUACGGGUCGUAAACCGCUUUUGCACGGGGAUAACACCCUCCACUUGUGGAGGUCUGCAGGUACCGUGCGAAUAAGGGCCGGCUAAUUCCGUGCCAGCAGCCGCGGUAAUACGGAAGGCCCGAGCGUUAUCCGGAUUCAUUGGGCUUAAAGGGAGCGUAGGCGGGCGUUCAAGUCAGCUGUAAAAUCGCGCGGCUCAACCGCGCCCCGCAGUUGAAACUGGACGCCUUGAGUUCACAACAGGCAGGCGGAAUUCGUGGUGUAGCGGUGAAAUGCAUAGAGAUCAAGAGGAAUACUCAUUGCGAAGGCGACCUGCUAGAACAUAACUGACGCUGAUGCGCGAAAGCGUGGGGAGCAAACAGGAUUAGAUACCCUUGUAGUC
rnacentral:rRNA from 1 species